GCGCUCGCUCCUGAAGUUAGGCGUAUACACCACCUUCCAACUGGGACAGAAGAUAUCAGUCUCGCUUUCUCUCAGACGCCCACGAAGUUGAGACUGCAUUCUUCUGAAGAUUCACUACUCCCUCGUUUAGGGAGAAGUACCAGCUAGUGCGCCCGUCUCCCACCGCCUUUCCUGCCCCCACUGCGUCCUUGACCCAGACCUUUCACUGUGGAUUUAAAGCAGCCCUUAAAAUAGUAGGUAAGUGUUUCCAACUUUAUAAGGUAAAAAUUAAUUGCAUCAGAUAUUAUUAACGUUAAGAUAACGUAAACCACAAGUUCCGGGGUGUGGAUACAGUUAUUGUUGUUGUUUUAAUUUUUUGUAGAGAUAGGGUCUUGCUCACUAUGUUGCCCAAGCUAUUCUUGAAUUCCUGGCCUCAGGUGAUCCUCCCACCUCAGCCUCCCAAAGUGUUGAGAUUACCAGCUUGAGCCACCAUGCCCUACUAGAUACAGUCUUACUCAAGUGACAAAGUCAUAAGAGCUAUUAAAACAUAUUGCAAUAAUAGUAUCAUAACCUUCCACCCACCCCCAUAGUCCUUACUGUGUGCCAGGCUCUGUUCUAAAUGUUGUAAGAAUGUUAACUGAGUUAUACAGGUUAUCUCAAGCAGGAUUUGACUCCAGGAUGAGUGCUCUUAACCACCGCAUAAUAUUGUCUCUCUGACUUUGUUUCUGGAGAAUAUGAAAAUAAUACCUUACAUAAAUUUCUGUGAUUUCAAUCAUAGAAUUACCAGCAUUUUUUAAAGCAUUACCUUUUGUACAGCCACUGUGUAACAGCUUUGAGAGCAUUACGUCAUUUUAUCUCAAAUUCUAUCACUCCCGCCCACCCAAGAGGCAGACAUGGAAAUUGCAGCUCCAUUUUACAGAUGUGAACACUGCAACUCAGAGACAUUAAGUUUCUUGGCCAAAGUCAUGACAUUAGUAAGUGGCAAAGCCAGGCUACAAAUUCAGGUAAACCUGACACCAAAGUCUGUGCUCUAAACCAAAACACUCUGGGUUCUGUUCAAAGUGAACUAAAUUAGGUCUAAAUACAACCCCAUAUUUAGUCACCUGGCACAAUCAUGAUGCUAUAUCAAAUCAGAGGUUGCAAACUGAUGACUCCUAUUCCUGGGCUUCCAGCCUUUCUGCAAAGCGCUGAAGAUCUGGCAGCACAGGGCCCAUGCUGCACCAGCAGGCACAAUUGCCUCAGCUGGGGCUGGACAGUGCCAGCUCAUUUCUGGCAUGCAGGCACUCAGGUCCCAACCAGUCCACUUCACCCAACUGUGUCAGUGGCCCCCACAGGCAUUUGAGUUUUUGCUCCCUAUCCUAGAAAUGUUCAGACCAGUGCUGCAUCUCCUCUGACCAUUGCAAACUGGUACAGAUUUUGAAAUCAAUUUAUGCCAGUUGAGCAGGGGUUUCCUACAGUGUAAAGCUAGACAUCUGGAGUUGGGGAAUUCCAAUUUCAAUGCCCUUCUGGCUUUAGACCAACUGUAGAUUUUACAAUCCCACAUCAAGGUCUAUGAUAUGGCUCCCGGUGACAGAUGUGUGGCACUAGCUCUGCUCACUGGGGAAAAUAAUCUGUCUGACACAGGGCUAAAGUCAACCUCUGUUUGCCAUUCACGGUCUCAGCAAUCUCAUUUCUCUCUGUGUUGAUUACCACUGCAUAUCUAAGCCUUUCAAGUUUUCUCUUUCCCUCAGGACCUAGAGGGUCCCUGGAGGGUAAAGACAGUUUGCAAAGUCAGUGUGAUUCAUGUUUUAGUUUCUGAAAAGAGAAAUUUGGCAUCCAUAGAGCUGCAGAUAAGAAACGGGAUGUGUAGUGUGAAGACAAAAGAGGCAGAAGGGACACCUAGUCUUCACAAAACAGAGAUACAGCUGAACAUAAUAAGGUUGGACAGGUAGAGGAUUUGCACAGAAACAUUGGCUAUCUAAACACUAUGUGGUUGUCAUAAAUACAUUUGGGAAGGAAGAGAAGGAAUAAUAUGAUUUCUCUUCCUAACAUACCUUGGAAACCAGCCAGUAAGGAAACAGUCUCAUCACUGAGAUAUUUUUCUUUCUUCAACACCAUGAAAAUUAAUGAAAUAUUAUAACAUUUUAUUUAUCUAGGCUAUAAAUUUGUGUAUUGAUAGAUUCUUCUUUCCUGGUGAUAUGGUUUGAAUUUUGUCCCCUCCAAAUCUCAUGUUGAAAUGGGAUUCCCAGUGGUAGAGGUGGGGCCUGGUGGGAGGUGAUUGGAUCAUGAGGGUGGAUUCCUCAUGAAUGGUUUAGCUCCGUCUCUUUGGUGAUAAGUGAGUUCUCACUUGGUUAGCUCACACAAGAUCUGGUUGUUUAAAAGGGUCUAGGACCUCCCCCUUCUCUCUCUCUCUUGCUCUGUCUCUUGCCAUGCAAUGCACUGACUUCCCCUUUGCCUUCCACCAUGAUUCUAAGCUUCCUGAGCCUCACUGGAAGCAGACACUGGCACCACACUUCCUCUGCGCCCUGCAGAACCAUGAGCUAAUUAAACCUCUUUUCUUUAUAAGUGACCCAAACUCAGAUAUUUCUUUAAAGCAGUGCAAGAAUGGACUGACACAUCUGGGUAUAGAAUACUUAGAUUUUAGAUUACUGGAGAUUAAAAAGCUCAAACUGGCUUGAACAAAAAAAAAUGAGGCAUUGUAUUCAUAUAAGAGACAUCCAAUUUAGCUUCAGGUGUGGCUGCAACCGGAUAUUCAUAUGGAGUCGCCAGGGGUUAGUAUCCAUCUCCUGGCUCUUUUUUCCUAUACAUUGGCUUUGUUCUCUGGCAGGCUAUCUUGUGGUGGCAAGGUGGUCUUCAGCAGCCCUAGAUAUACAUUCUGCCAGGUUAUCAAUGCCAACAGAAAGAAAUGAUCUCUCAGAAGAAUUUGAGCAAAAUCCCCAGGACUGUCUCUGUUUGAUCUGGCAUUGGUCAUGGGCUCACCCCAGAAUUCGUUACUGUGGCCAGAGGUAUGUGGUGAUGUGGUGUUCUCAUUGAUUGGUGCUGAGUCCCCACCAAAGGCAAGGGGUAGGGCCAUCUCCAUCCAAACCAUAAUAUCAAUGUCAAAGAGGUGUGAUUUUCAAGACGGAAAGAGAGAGAGAGAGGGCGGGGGGAUUCUGUGUGCAGAAGGGCAAUGGGCAGGCCAAACCGCAGAUGGUCACUAACAUUCUUCACUCUGACCUUGAGGCAGGCGGGGAGGAUGAGCUUUCAUUAAAUGAUUUUUUCCUAGUCCUUUUGAAAAAGGACUCAGUAUUGAGUUCCUUAGCUUCUGGGUCCAACCCACAAAUAAACCAGCAGAGUAAAAAUUAUUAUUUUCAUUGGAUCACUGCACAAAAUACAAUCAAACAGGAACCAAUAUAUCAGCAAAGGAAUUCUUUUCAUGAAAUAUCCUAGUUAUCCUUAGUGACCCAACAGUUAUCUCCAGGUAAUAUUAAGCAUCAAAAUGUUAUUCACCCAAACUCCUACAUAUUAAUUCUGAGGCUCCCAUAUUAUUGGUAUAGAGCCAACUCUUAAUUAUUGGCAGACGCAGAAUAUGGAAAUUAUGGAUCAAGCCUAAGGUCUCGUUUUAGCAAAGCGAUUCAGACUCUUCCAGAUAAACUUUUA
ensembl:lncRNA novel transcript